GACGAACGCUGGCGGCGUGCUUAACACAUGCAAGUCGAACGGAAAGGCCUGCUUUCCCUUGUGGAUUGCGGGUACUCGAGUGGCGAACGGGUGAGUAACACGUGAGUGAUCUGCCCCCAACUUGGGUAUAAGCCUGGGAAACUGGGUCUAAUUCCCGAUAGGACUGCAGGGUGGUGCCUGUGGUGGAAAACGAUUUUCUAGUGGUUGGGGAUGAGCUCGCGGCCUAUCAGCUUGUUGGUGGGGUAAUGGCCUACCAAGGCGGCGACGGGUAGCCGGCCUGAGAGGGUGGACGGCGACAUUGGGACUGGGAUACGGCCCAGACUCCUACGGGAGGCAGCAGUGGGGAAUAAUGCACAAUGGGCGGAAGCCUGAUGCAGCGACGCCGCGUGGGGGAUGACGGCCUUCGGGUUGUAAACUCCUUUCGACCGAGAGGAAGCCACCUGGUUGGAAGGGUGGUGACGGUAGUGGUAGAAGAAGCACCGGCUAACUACGUG
rnacentral:rRNA from 1 species